GGCAGUGGUGGCUGAAUGGUCAAGGUGCUCGGUUACUAAUCAGAAGGGUAUGGGUUCAAGCCUCAGCACUGCCA